AUGGCCUCCGAGAGCGUCUUAAGCUGCAUCAUCAUCCCGGAGUUGGUUAUGUAUCGCGCGUCUGCCUCCUCAACGAUGGUGCCAGCUCUCAUCAGGAGGUGCUGCAACCUCUCCACUCCCUUCUCCUCUGAUCGGGCAUGGCUCAAGGAGUUGUACUUGUUUAUUAGGAAGGAGAUGAACUGGCUCACAAGUUCACCUGCAACUGCAGAUAUGGCAGUCUCCAUGGCUGGGAUUGAUGAGCCUGCUGUUGCAACGUUUGACCAUCAGACCUUGGAAAUUAUUUGGCUUUUGCCAGAUGAACUUCAGCGAAGAAGUAGCGCCACAGCUCGUUGA
rnacentral:rRNA from 1 species